GGAGAAUCUUGCACAAUGGGGGAAACCCUGAUGCAGCAACGCCGCGUGAAGGAAGAAGGCCCUUGGGUCGUAAACUUCUUUUCUAAGGGAAGAUAAUGACGGUACCUUAGGAACAAGUCCCGGCUAACUACGUGCCAGCAGCCGCGGUAAUACGUAGGGGGCGAGCGUUAUCCGGAAUUAUUGGGCGUAAAGAGUACGUAGGUGGUUUCCUAAGCAUGGGGUUUAAGGCAAUGGCUCAACUGUUGUUCGCCCUAUGAACUGGGUUACUUGAGUGCUGGAGGGGAAAGCGGAAUUCCUAGUGUAGCGGUGAAAUGCGUAGAUAUUAGGAGGAACACCAGUGGCGAAGGCGGCUUUCUGGACAGUAACUGACACUGAGGUACGAAAGUGUGGGGAGCAAAC
rnacentral:rRNA from 1 species